AUUGAACGCUGGCGGCAUGCCUUACACAUGCAAGUCGAACGGUAACAGGUCUUCGGAUGCUGACGAGUGGCGAACGGGUGAGUAAUACAUCGGAACGUGCCUAGUAGUGGGGGAUAACUACUCGAAAGAGUGGCUAAUACCGCAUGAGAUCUACGGAUGAAAGCAGGGGAUCGCAAGACCUUGUGCUACUAGAGCGGCCGAUGGCAGAUUAGGUAGUUGGUGGGAUAAAAGCUUAUCAAGCCGACGAUCUGUAGCUGGUCGGAGAGGACGAUCAGCAACACUGGGACUGGGACACGGCCCAGACUCCUACGGGAGGCAGCAGUGGGGAAUUUUGGACAAUGGGCGCAAGCCUGAUCCAGCAAUGCCGCGUGCAGGAUGAAGGCCUUCGGGUUGUAAACUGCUUUUGUACGGAACGAAAAGCCCUGGGUUAAUACCCUGGGGUCAUGACGGUACCGUAAGAAUAAGCACCGGCUAACUACGUGCCAGCAGCCGCGGUAAUAC
rnacentral:rRNA from 1 species